UACGUAGGGGACGAGCGUUGUCCGGAUUCAUUGGGCGUAAAGAGCUCGUAGGCGGCUGCUCAAGUCGAAUGUGAAAACUCGAGGCUCAACCUCGAGCCUGCAUUCGAUACUGGGCGGCUAGAGUCUGGUAGGGGGAUCUGGAAUUCCUGGUGUAGCGGUGGAAUGCGCAGAUAUCAGGAGGAACACCGGUGGCGAAGGCAGCACUCUGGGACGUGACUGACGCUGAGACGCGAAAGCGUGGGGAGCAAACAGG
rnacentral:rRNA from 1 species